rnacentral:rRNA from 1 species
AUACGAAGGGGGCUAGCGUUGUUCGGAAUCACUGGGCGUAAAGCGCACGUAGGCGGAUCUUUAAGUCAGGGGUGAAAUCCCGAGGCUCAACCUCGGAACUGCCUUUGAUACUGGGGAUCUCGAGUCCGGGAGAGGUGAGUGGAACUGCGAGUGUAGAGGUGAAAUUCGUAGAUAUUCGCAAGAACACCAGUGGCGAAGGCGGCUCACUGGCCCGAUACUGACGCUGAGGCACGAAAGCGUGGGGAGCAAACAGGA